rnacentral:snRNA from 1 species
CUCGGUUGGUUAAAGUCGAGUGUUUCUCUAAACCUACCACAGAAGAUUAGCAUGGCCCCUGCCCAAGGAUGACACGCAACAUCGUGAAGCGUUCCACAUUUCU